rnacentral:rRNA from 1 species
UUCUCAAUCUCGAAUAUUUAUGGCCCUUGUGCUACCUCGGACAAGCAAGCCUUUGCCAAUGAAUUACUUCAGCUAGGUCAAUCUGUCUCCGGCCCAUGGGCGCUUAUCGGUGACUUUAACUUCACUCUCAGGCCAUCUGAUCGAUCCAAUGAUAACUUUGACCACUCUGAGGCUAAUUUCUUCUCCUUUGUGCUUAACCAAAUUAAGCUUCAGGAGCUUCCCCUGCAUGACAGGUUAUAUACCUGGUCCAACCAACAGACCCCUCCUAUACUCGUUCGUUUAGAUAGGGCUUUCGUUAACACCGACUGGAGCUUCCUACUACCAGACUCUUCCCUCACAUCCUCUUGCUGA